rnacentral:rRNA from 1 species
GUAGGGAAUAUUGGGCAAUGGUCGGAAGACUGACCCAGCCAUGCCGCGUGCAGGAAGACGGCCCUCUGGGUUGUAAACUGCUUUUAUCUGGGAAGAAAAAGGCCAUGCGUGGCAAAUUGCCGGUACCAGAUGAAUAAGCACCGGCUAACUCCGUGCCAGCAGCCGCGGUAAUACGGAGGGUGCGAGCGUUGUCCGGAUUUAUUGGGUUUAAAGGGUGCGUAGGCGGCUGAUUAAGUCAGCGGUGAAAGACUUCGGCUUAACCGGAGCAGUGCCGUUGGUACUGGUUGGCUUGAGUGUCGGAGGGGUACAUGGAAUUGAUGGUGUAGCGGUGAAAUGCAUAGAUACCAUCAGGAACACCGAUAGCGAAGGCAUUGUACUGGCCGACAACUGACGCUGAUGCACGAAAGUGUGGGGAUCGAACAGGAUUAGAAACCCGGGUAGUCC